rnacentral:rRNA from 2 species
CACGUAGGGGGCGAGCGUUGUCCGGAUUUAUUGGGCGUAAAGAGCUCGUAGGUGGCUCGGUAAGUCGGGUGUGAAAUUUCGAGGCUCAACCUCGAGACGCCACCUGAUACUGCUGUGGCUAGAGUCCGGUAGGGGAGCGUGGAAUUCCUGGUGUAGCGGUGAAAUGCGCAGAUAUCAGGAGGAACACCAGCGGCGAAGGCGGCGCUCUGGGCCGGUACUGACACUGAGGAGCGAAAGCGUGGGGAUCAAACAGG